CUCCUGGAAGCAAGGAGAGACAACCAGGCCUGGCUGUCUAUUGUCUUUGCAUGUGGUGUGGUGACUCCUCUGCAUCCCGAGGGGCAGCAGUGGGAGAAAUGUUCUAAUUCCUUAAAUACUAUUGUACUGGGGUUCCCUCUUUAGCAUGUACUCAUGAGCUGGUGGGACAUCUCUCCAUGAUACUGGCAAUUACAAUGCAUUCAAGAAUAGAUGGGAAAAAUUCUGUGCCACUCAACGCCACAGGAGUACAGUUGAAUAAGAGUUAAAUACAGAACCCAUCUUAUUGGCAUCUGGAGGGAAGUGUUAUGAUAGCUUACAGACAGAUGUGUCUCAAGUUCUCUCUGUGUGAUGGGGUCUGCAGACAACAGUUCUUAAAAUGAGAGAGACAGCUAAAUGAUGUCAUUUGCUUGAAUCCAGCUUCUGUGUUCAGGAGAGCUCUCUGUGAACAAUUAGAAAUCCAUUAAGUGUUUGUGUAAAGUUGGUUAUAUCAAGGUGGGAGAUGUCUCAAGAAAAGUGCCAGUAGAAGUUCUCCUGCUAUCCCGAGUCAGCCUUGCUACCCAAAACCGGUGAGUUUGUCUUGCCUCUCCUUCCUACUCCAAAAUGUCCUUCUUUGGGAUCUCUUCCCACCACUUUAGCACCUUUAGGGUCACCGGUACAGCAUCUGAAGAGAAGGAAGAACAUACUGAACCUCCUCAUCAUUGUUGCUUCCAUACAGAAAAUGCAGGAGGAGAGCUGUGGUGCUGCUAACAUCCCAGACAACCUUGUGUCAGCUGGAGAUGGGACAAUAUUCUUGUGCAGUGCCAUGGGAGAAGGUUGCAAGAGAUGCUCAGCUGGUGAAUGCUCCUGAAGGACCACAUCUUGACCGACUUUGGUCUGAGCACCAGCACUGCACCACAGGAGGAGAAAGCUUAUGCUGUCGCUGCUGGAGACAUUCCAAAUCCAAGCACGAAAAUGUCAUGUACAGCACGCUGGGAAGGCCAAAUAAUGAGCAGUCUGCAGCAAGGAUCUACCUUUCAUUUUCUCCCCUUCCUCAGAGUGGCAAUGUCUGCUCAGCACAUCUUGGGAGCAAAAUGCAGCUGGGCUGGAGCAGAAAUAAACCGGAUAGCUGAAAUAGGAGAAGUGAGUACAGCUACAGCACAGCUUUGUGUAAAACUUCAUUCCUUGCUGGUAGUAAACAAAAAUAGUGGG
ensembl:lncRNA